ensembl:snoRNA
GUAGCUUUGGAUUUAUGGUAGACCUGUCACUGUGGGCCUCACAUAGUGCCUGUGCUAGAGCAAACUGUAACCCAAAACCAUCGCCUGGCCUCCUUGCCCAUAGUCUGUGGAUGCUAAAGCAGAUUGCCCAGUA